rnacentral:tRNA from 1 species
GGUGAGAUGGCUGAAAAUAGGUGAUAGACUGUAAAUCUAUUUAUGAGGUUCACCCUCUCCCACCA